rnacentral:rRNA from 1 species
CCUACGGGUGGCAGCAGUCGAGAAUCAUUCACAAUGGGGGAAACCCUGAUGGUGCGACGCCGCGUGGGGGAAUGAAGGUCUUCGGAUUGUAAACCCCUGUCAUGUGGGAGCAAAUUAAAAAGAUAGUACCACAAGAGGAAGAGACGGCUAACUCUGUGCCAGCAGCCGCGGUAAUACAGAGGUCUCAAGCGUUGUUCGGAAUCACUGGGCGUAAAGCGUGCGUAGGCUGUUUCGUAAGUCGUGUGUGAAAGGCGCGGGCUCAACCCGCGGAAGGCACAUGAUACUGCGAGACUAGAGUGAUGGAGGGGGAACCGGAAUUCUCGGUGUAGCAGUGAAAUGCGUAGAUAUCGAGAGGAACACUCGUGGCGAAGGCGGGUUCCUGGACAUUAACUGACGCUGAGGCACGAAGGCCAGGGGAGCGAAAGGGAUUAGAUACCCCUGUAGUC